GGUUUGUUAUUCGACCAUUCCAAGCAGGCUACAAGGUCAAGUUCCCUCCUUUUUCUCAAAUAAGACACACGCAGAGCCAUAAUAAGGAGUCAAGACAGAACUAAGAAAAAUCUACCUAAGUGUGUUUCAUCAAUAAUUAUUACUGUCAAUAGCCCGUCAACACAAAAACAAGCUUCAACGAUUUUCCCCCAAAUCAUAGCAUGGAUUACUUAUUAUUUGUGUACGUAAACAAAAAUGCAACUUAAAAAUAUAUUUAU
rnacentral:lncRNA from 1 species